rnacentral:rRNA from 1 species
CCCUUAGAUGUCCGGGGCCGCACGCGCGCUACACUGAAGGAAUCAGCGUGGCUCUGUCCCUGGUCCGAAAGGAUUGGGAAACCCGUUGAAUCUCCUUCGUGAUAGGGAUUGGGGCUUGGAACUGUUCCCCAUGAACGAGGAAUUCCUAGUAAACGCAGAUCAUCAAUCUGCAUUGAUUACGUCCCUGCCCUUUGUACACACCGCCCGUCGCACCUACCGAUUGAAUGGUCCGGUGAAGCCUCGGGAUUAUGAACAAUGCCUUUGUUGGCAUUGUUUGUGAGAACUUGUCUAAACCUUAUCAUUUAGAGGAAGGUGAAGUCGUAACA